rfam:Xenopus laevis strain J chromosome 5S, whole genome shotgun sequence.
AUUCCCAUUUUAGUACCGCUUUUUUCGAUUCCCAGAAUAAGCGGCUAUGCUAAUGGGAAAGAAUAAUCUCUGCCAUAGUUUGAAGGAGUGUUACAUUUAUAUAACGUCUCCUACAUGAAAAGGCAGAACAGAAAUUU